ensembl:lncRNA
UUCCCCAUCUAAUUUGAUUUUUUGUAGAAUUUAUUCCCCAUUUUUAAAGGGUUUUAGUGCCUUGCAAAACCACAUUAACUAAAGAAAACCAAUUUUUAAAAAUUAUUUCUUUCUCCUCAUUUAUUCCCCAUUUUUUAAAGGGUUUUAGUGCCCUGCAAAACCCACAGCAACUAAAGAGAAUUUUUAAAAAAUUAUUUCUUUCUUAUCAUUGAUUCCCCAAUUUUUAGUUUUUUAGUGCCUUGCAAAAACCGCAUUAACUAAAGAGAACCUUUAUUUUAUUAUUAAUUCUUUCUUAUCAUUUAUUCCCAAUUUUUUUUUUAUAUUCCCCAUUUUUUAGUAUUUUAGUACCCUGCAAAAACCGCAUUAACUAAGGAGAACAUUUAUUUUUUAAAUGAUUUCUUAUCAUUAAUUCCCCAUUUUUUAGUUUUUUAGUGCCUUGCAAAACCACGUCAACUAAAGAGAAUUUUUUUUAAUUAUUUCUUCCUUAUAAUUUAUUCCCCAUUUUUUUGCAGAAUUCAUUCCCCAUUUUUAAAACCCUUUACUACCUUGCAAAACUCACUUGAACUAAAGAGAACUUUUAUUUUUAAUUACGUCUUCCUCAUAAUUUAUUCCCCAUUUUUUAGUAGAAUUUAUUCCCCAAUUUAUUUAUUUAUUUUUGCAGAAUCCAUUCCCCAUUUUUUAUUUAUUUCUUUAUUCAUUUUUGCACAAUCCAUUGCCCAUUCUAAAACCCUUUCCCACCUCACAACCCCACUGGCACCAACGCCCAGCUC